rnacentral:rRNA from 1 species
GACGAACGCUGGCGGCGUGCUUAACACAUGCAAGUCGAACGGAAAGGCCCUGCUUUUGUGGGGUGCUCGAGUGGCGAACGGGUGAGUAACACGUGAGUAACCUGCCCUUGACUUUGGGAUAACUUCAGGAAACUGGGGCUAAUACCGGAUAGGAGCUCCUGCUGCAUGGUGGGGGUUGGAAAGUUUCGGCGGUUGGGGAUGGACUCGCGGCUUAUCAGCUUGUUGGUGGGGUAGUGGCUUACCAAGGCUUUGACGGGUAGCCGGCCUGAGAGGGUGACCGGCCACAUUGGGACUGAGAUACGGCCCAGACUCCUACGGGAGGCAGCAGGGGGGAAUAUUGCGCAAUGGGCGGACGCCUGAUGCAGCAACGCCGCGUGCGGGAUGAAGGCCUUCGGUUUGUAAACCGCUUUCGCAUGUGACGAAGCGUGAGUGACGGUAAUGGGUAAAGAAGCACCGGCUAACUACGUG